GCCAGGCGUGGUGGCGGGCGCCUGUAAUCCCAGCUACUCAGGAGGCUGAGGCAGGAGAAUCGCUUGAACCCAGGAGGCAGAGGUUGCAGUGAGCCGAGAUCACGCCACUGCAUCCAGCCUGGGUGACAGAGCGAGACUCUGUCUCAA
ensembl:misc_RNA Metazoa_SRP Metazoan signal recognition particle RNA